UACACUAACAUCCUCGCAAGUCCCAUCCUCUUUCCAUAACACUUCCUGGAAACACAAGCAGGGUCCUUAACAGAACAUCUGAGACAGAAUCUUCAAAGUUUAUUAAUUUUCUAUACCUACGUAGUCUUUAUUACUUCAUCCUCAUACAGUUCCCAUUCAAGCAUCUUCUUCUAUCAUCUGCACUAUCCCAAGAGUUUGUUUGAUUUCUGCAUGCCUUGCUCUUCUUUUUACUCAAAAAGACCUACUCUUCCAUUUUAUUUUCCAUCAUUUUCCCACUUUUCUUUUAAUUCAUCUCCGUUAUUUAACUCUGAAAAAAAAAAAAAACAGUUCUCGUAAAUUACUUUUGUUUAAGCCCUUCUACUUUUCCUUUCCUUAAAACAAUUCUCCGGAAUUGGUGAAGUAAUUCUAUCCCAAUUGAGCAUUUUCAAUUUCCAAGUUUAUCGGUCAACAAUCCUUUCUCUUGUGAUCCACAUUUUCAUAAAGAUAAGAACAAGGGUGGAUGUGAGGUGGGUUGAGGGUGCCUGCUGCAGGGUACUCCAAAGUGGCAAAGGAGACACCAUGGCCAUUGAGGGCAGGGAACUCCAUCAUGCUAGCUUUGUAACCUAAUACUAUAACUUUUUCCAAGUCACUUUAGGUUUUAUAUAUUUUAACGAUUCUUUUUCCCUUUGGAUAGUACCUUGGACUGUUGUAAUUAUCACCAACAUCAAAUGUGAUUUUGAAUCAGGUAAAGAAGGCAAAGGGGGGAUGGUCCUACAUUUUUCUACUUUUUGUUUAUGAUCAGAAGAAACUGCUUGCAUUGAUAAUUCUCCAGCAGAUCGCUGUUGUUUGGACAGCAAGAGAAAAGGGCAGCUCACUGAGCAUGCCACUGUCAUGGGCCCCUCUUAUUUACUCUUUCAACCACAUUCAUUCAAAGUCUA
rnacentral:sRNA from 1 species